rnacentral:lncRNA from 1 species
CUUGGCACUGUUAGCAUAGUUAACACAUUUCUCUCCCUCUCUCUUCCUCUCCCCCUCCUUUUUUUUUAUGCCUUGGGAGAAGUCCUGUGCUGCAGCCCCUUUGCUGGCUGCCAUGUGCUGUUGUGCUUGGAACGAGCCCCUGUUUAGGCUGUCGGUGGCGGUACCCCGGGUUCCUGCUCGGAAAGAGCAGCAGCCUGUUAUCAUCAGGCUCAGCGUGACGGCGCCGGCCAGAUGCGAAUGCAGAACCCACCAAGACAGACUUGAUCACAAAAGUGUGUGUGGGCAAGAUAUUUUUUUGCUGGGGGAAGGAGACUGCCUACAGAUUGCACCAGAGGCAAGAGUGUUUCAGGAGAACUCUGUGCGUACUGCCCAUCUUUUGUUUUCCAAAGAAAUGGGAGAUGAACGGGACAUGGGGCCGAAACUCCUCCUCUGA